ensembl:lncRNA
CUCUGUGUCACAUCUGUUGUGCACACGGUGCAGAACAGAUCGGACCGUGACGGGGCAUCGUCCAUGUACAUGUAAAAUCUUUGAGUCUGUGUUUCUUUGCCUCCUAAUAAUUUUCUCUUCACAACAGGGAUACAGCUUUUAUUUGUACUAAUAUAAGAGUGUGAUGGUAAAGUGGAAAUUGCAUCCAGGACUGAAACCAUCGCUUUAUGCUGCUGGCAGAAAUUUGGCUGUUUGCAAGCACCUGCACAGACAGCAUGCUAACGUUAAGCUAGCUGAGAACCCAGAGUCACAUUCAAGCUGAGUGAAUGCUGACCGCUGCCCAGCAGGCAGACCCUGAACUUCAACAGGUAACAUGUGUCUAAAAUAGAGUCAUCAUGGCGAUCACUUUGAAGUCUGUUUGAGCUUGUUUUUGUUUUUGCUUUAUGUUGUCAGCUUUAUGUUCAGACCUAAAUUAAAGCUCCUUAUUAGGAUAGGUAUUUGUGUUGGCAUGUAGGACUGUAGCCUUUAUGUUGUUAACUGGUAAUUAUAACACCAUGCAUUUCAGGUAAUUUCAAAGGGCAACGAGUAAUAAGUAGUUUAAAGAUUUACUUUUUCUGGUGAGCAAUUAAGUCAUGCACUACAUUAUUUUUAAGGAAAAUUACAAGUAAUGUGUAAUACAUUACUUUUCUUCAAUAACAUUCUCAACAUUCUUUAUAUAUGCCUUGUAUAUGUUACCAUUAAAGCUACUCAAUGUUUCCAAUAGAAGAAAAAGAACACAACAACAACAAACAAAUAUGCAACAACAUUUUCACAUAUAACCCUCAAAAUAUAAAUGUGGAAUAUUUAAAUGACUGAAAAGUCCCAACAAACAAUAAUGCAAUAUACCAGACCAGCACAUUAUUAUUAUUGCUUUUAAAUUAUUAUUAAAUUUACUACACCCAUCAAGUGUAGUGAACAUUUACACAGUUGAUACAUUUCACACAUGGGAGGUGCACAAUGACUCCUCAGUGCCACCUAGAAAUUUUUAGUCAGGUACACCUGAGAUAUUGUUUGAGUUAGUGAAUUUUGCUCCACUUGUAAAUAGUAAUAUGUCCAAAAAAGUUCAGGGGACCUUUUACCCAAGCCCACUGGGAAGUCAUCGAUUUUGAAUUAAGAUAAAAUUUGGGUGGUUUUUUUUCGUCAUAUGAAAUUUUGAAUGUGGGUUCCACAGAUUAGCAGGUGUUUUUAAUAUCACCUAGUGAGCACAGGAAGUGAAAGGUAACUUUUUUUGUGAAACACAAUGAUAUUCCCAAAUGCAAGAUGACUGCAGGAAACCAAAAGCUUUUCUGCAAGUUGGUAAUGCUGAGCUACUCAGUACUGCUGAGGCAACUCUGACAGGACGCUUUUUGUAUAUCAGGCCUGACCCCAGUUUGCAGCCUGCAGGCAACAUGGCGUGGGUGUGAAUGACUCUGAUUACUGUCUAUUGGCGAAUAACAGUGAAACUGCCUAGCUAAAACUUGGCUCAUUACUGCCCUGGAAAAAAUAAAGCAAGAAAAAAAACACUUGUUUGACUGGUGGAUCUGUUGUUUUUCAUCAACCUGAGCCAGAAAAAUACAGGCCGAGCACUUCAGUCUGCACUUGAAGGAAUCUCCAAAGUCAGCGUGACCAUCUGUAGUAAUUUUAUACAGCAAUGCGAUAUUAUAAUUUAAGUCCCACUCUCUACUCAUAGUACAGUCAACAAGUAUCCUACUCACCAUAUGUACACUCUGGAAAUUUGGAUGGCUCUUUCUAUUCCUUUCUCUAACGCAUAGGCACAAAAUAGGUUGUUUGCCACUGAUGGUUUUCGCUCAUUUACAGAUAAUGCUGUGGAAGUGGGGUGUGUUUUUUGUAUCUGUCUGGGUAAGAGACAUCAGCGGCGGCACAGUGCUGCAGUCACAGCUGCAGUUAUAACCCCUUCUCCAUGCAAACUGACUGCAGGCCAGUGGGUGUAGCAUGUCUAUUAGAAAUGGAGUGAUACUUCUCCUUGGUCAGUCUCUAAUGUGUCUCUCAUUACAUACACUGUUCUGUCACUGCCAUAUAUCUGGUGCUUGAAUUCAUCAGUAAAUCUGACUUUUUUCAGUCCUCCAUGCUGAAACGAUGAAAGGCUGUCUCAGGCUACCUCACACCUCUGGCCUGAAUUCCCCUGCUGCCAAAUAAUUGUUCUUCCCUUUUUGAAACAUAAGUAGACAAUCUUUUUCAUUUCUUUUCUGUCUCUCUAUGAAAAAGCUUUACAAAGCUUAAAUUUACAAUAUUAUUAAGACCUCACAAACAAUAUACGAUAUAGAAAUAUUACUUUCAGAUUUAUCAAGAGUACUUUUAUGACCCUAUAGUAUUUUAACAUGAUAUUCAUGUAGCUGUUUAGACAAGGGUGUGGGCUGAGGUUAUUUUAAGUUCAAUACACGUUUUUUAUUACUUUUAAGUAAUUAUAUUAUCAGCUCAUCCUGUAAUAUUGAGCUCUAUGAACAAAAGCUAUUGUUCUGAAAUGUCAAUACAACAUGGCCAUUGGACAAUUUCAUUGAUGAACAUUUGGUGAAUGGUGUACAAGAGCAUUGUUGAACUGCUUGGGUAUGCAAAACACAUAAAUUAACAGAGUUUAAUUUUACCGAAAUGCAGGUUUAUUAUAAGUGUCUUGUUCAAGAAUGCUUUUGUAAAAGUAAAAAACACUUUUACUCAUUAGAAUUAUAAAUAAAGUGAAUACACUGGAUAAGUAUUCUUCCAUACUAGAGAUGGCACGAUACCACUUUUUUAUGUCCGAUACCGAUAUCAUAAAUUUGGAUAUCUGCCGAUACCGAUAUGAAUCCGAUAUAGUGUUUUUUAAUCAACAAAACUGUUUUUUUAAAUAUCUUGCUGCAUUUUGUAUAAGUUCAUACUCAAGUUUAAAACAACAACUACACUAAAGCUAUUCUGUUAUACCUGUAUGCAAAAAAAAAAAAUUUCAUAGUUCAGCAAUACUAAUCAAUCUAAUAAACUUAAACCUACACCAUCCUCCCUAUUCUGGUAUUUUAAAGAGUACUUAGCGUAAAUAUUAAGCAACCUAACUAAUAGGGUUCCAACUCCCAGCAACAACAAAAAUAAAUAAAUAAAAAAUGGGGAACCACCCCUCACGCUCCACCUCAUGAUGCUUAAUCGACGUAAUCAACCUUAAUUUGAUGCAGUGUGAAAAAAAAUGCACAGAAAUCAAUUAUUUUUCAAGAAAUAUUAAAUAGAUUCAACAUCUUUCUUCAACAGAAUUGCAGACUGCACAGAUGGUACCUUCCCAAAGGAAAAAGUACUAUAGCUUACUAGGGUAGAUAUAUUAGACUUAAUAGUUACAAUAUACAGUAAUGGACUUCUAUUCAUUUUGCAUCAAAUUAAAACUUUGGGUGUCAGAUAAUUAUUUAUUAAAAGCUAGACAUUUUAAAUGAGAAUAAGAAAGAAAAGUAUGUCUUUGUGCCCCCUUUUCCCUGUUCAUGCCCUAUCGGCCCCCCUGGCUAAACUUUGCUAGAUCCGCCCCUGCACAGUUACCAGCGUCGGCUACGUAGAAAAAGAUCCUCGAGUAGAAAGUAAAUAAAUUCUAACAACAGCUUAUCAAGCUUAAACGUGCUGCUGUUGUUUAUCCGCUGGUUUCCUCUUUCUGGUGCAAAGUGGGCCA